GACGAACGCUGGCGGCGUGCUUAACACAUGCAAGUCGAACGGAAAGGCCCUGCUUGCAGGGUACUCGAGUGGCGAACGGGUGAGUAACACGUGGGUGAUCUGCCCUGCACUUCGGGAUAAGCCUGGGAAACUGGGUCUAAUACCGGAUAGGAGCCAUUCUUAGUGUGAUGGUUGGAAAGUUUUUUUGGUGUAGGAUGAGCUCGCGGCCUAUCAGCUUGUUGGUGGGGUAAUGGCCUACCAAGGCGGCGACGGGUAGCCCGCCUGAGAGGGUGGCCGGCCACAUUAGGGCUGAGAUACAGCCCAGACUCCUACGGGAGGCAGCAGUGGGGAAUGUUGCACAAUGGGCGCAAGCCUGAUGCAGCGACGCCGCGUGGGGGAUGACGGCCUUCGGGUUGUAAACUCCUUUCGCUAGGGACGAAGCUUUUUGUGACGGUACCUAGAUAAGAAGCACCGGCUAACUACGUG
rnacentral:rRNA from 1 species